UUGACCUCAAAUCAGGCGGGACUACCCGCUGAACUUAAGCAUAUCAAUAAGCGGAGGAAAAGAAACUAACAAGGAUUCCCCUAGUAACUGCGAGUGAAGCGGGAAGAGCUCAAAUUUAAAAUCUGGCGUCUUUGGCGUCCGAGUUGUAAUUUAGAGAAGCGUUUUCCGCGCUGGACCGUGUACAAGUCUCCUGGAACGGAGCGUCAUAGAGGGUGAGAAUCCCGUCUUUGACACGGACCCCCAGUGCUCUGUGAUACGCUCUCGAAGAGUCGAGUUGUUUGGGAAUGCAGCUCAAAAUGGGUGGUGAACUCCAUCUAAAGCUAAAUAUUGGCGAGAGACCGAUAGCGAACAAGUACCGUGAGGGAAAGAUGAAAAGCACUUUGGAAAGAGAGUGAAACAGUACGUGAAAUUGUUGAAAGGGAAACGCUUGAAGUCAGUCGCGUUUGCCGAGACUCAGCCUUCGGGUGUACUUCUCGGUGGACGGGCCAGCAUCACUUUCGAUCAUCGGAAAAGGGCGAGGGGAAUGUGGCACCUCCGGGUGUGUUAUAGCCUCUUGUCGUAUACGGUGACCGGGAGUGAGGACCGCCUUUGUAGGAUGCUGGCGUAAUGGCUUUAAACGACCCGUCUUGAAACACGGACCAAGGAGUCUAACAUGCCCGCGAGUGUUUGGGUGGAAAACCCAUGCGCGUAAUGAAAGUGAAAGUUGGGAAGGCUGUCGUGGCCUGCACCGACGCCCGGACUUGAGAUUUAUCGAAGGUUCUGCGGUAGAGCGUGUAUGUUGGGACCCGAAAGAUGGUGAACUAUGCCUGAAUAGGGUGAAGCCAGAGGAAACUCUGGUGGAGGCUCGUAGCGA
rnacentral:rRNA from 1 species